rnacentral:lncRNA from 13 species
CUGGGUUCCUAGGGAACUUAACUGUUUUAGAUAAUGCUCUCUGACCUCUAAGGAACAGAGACCCACUUUGCUUCAGGGCAGGACUUGGGUCCUAUCUGAAAAUAUUCACACGGACCACAUUGGAUCAGAAGAUCAAAAGGUCCUAGAUAUCCCCCAGUUUUAGGCCCCGGUCUCUCUCCUUUGGUCUGUUUCAUGUCUCAUGACCUCUCUCAAAGACAUCGCUUUCUUCUUUCUUUCUUUUUUACCUUUUAUUUUAGGUGCAGGUUUGUUAAGUAGGCAAACUGUGUAUCUUGGGGGGUUGGUAUACAGGUUAUUUCAUCACCCAGGUAAUAAGCUUAGUACCUGGUAGGUAGUUUUUCUAUCCUCAUCCUCCUCCCACCCUCCACCCUCUUGGUGUCUGUUGUUCCCUUCUUUGUGAAAGACAUUGUUGUCCGACCAGCUUUUUCUCCCUUCCCUAUGCCACGUCAUAACUUCAUCUUGCACGUGGCUUUGGCUUACAUGAGCCUGUGGCAAUUUGACAGCUCCAGUAAAAUUACUUCCUGGCAAUUCAUUCCUUGUUUCUGAGUCCAUAUUGCCAAAGGAAAGACUCUAGUCAGUCCAGCUCGUCUGUGUAUGCCAGCUCCUGAAUACUCGAGCAGUGAAAUGCUUAAAAAAGAUCUUUCAGUGCCUCAACCAGGUGACCAAGGUCAACAUCAACAGCGUAAGUCACGUUGCUGGUGUGCAGCCUUGAUAAAUGGGGUAGCAACGACCCUUCACUGUGUGGUCUGCCCUCCAAAGACCCAAAACUCUGGUCUCAACAUGAGAAAUAUAUCAGAUAAAUCCCCGCUGAGGAUCAUUCUGAAACACACCUGACCAAUGCUCCUAAAAACAACCAAGGUUAUUGAAAGCAAAAAAAGCCUGAGAAACUCACAGCCACGAGGGGCCCAAGGAGGAGCAAUGACUAAAUGUUAAGUAUGGAAUCUUAGAUGGGAUUCUGGAACAGAGAAGGACAUUGGUAAACAUUAAAGAUAUGUGAACACAGUAUGGACUUUAGUUAAUAACAAUUUAACAAUAUUGGUUCGUUAAUUUUAACAAAUAUACCCCAUUAAGAUAAAAUGUUAAUACUAGGGGCCCUAGGAAUGAGGUAUAUAGGAACUCUCCAUACUAUUGUCUUGAAUUUUUCUGUAAAUCAAAAACCAUUUAAAUAUUUUUAUUUAAAAAAAGUAGUACAUUAAUACUAUUUAGAAAAGUGAGAGAAAGGUUUUUAUGUAAAUGUUAAGAGGGUAGUUCUGAUGUUACUUGCACUUCGGAGAUUCUCUUGUAAAUUCUCUAGAGUUAUGAUACCUUAUAUAUCCUGCUUGCUCACAGGUUCUGGAGAUUUAAAAAAGAGAGAGAAAUGGGGAGUGGAUAUUCCUCAGGGAAUAAGAGGCCUUAACAAUGUAAUUUAAUGGCAAGA